ensembl:lncRNA
GUAGGUUGCUGUGCUGGGCAAACAGUGGCCCCAAGAAUAUUCAAAACCAUCCCCAAACCACAUGUAUCUGCAGCUUAUAAAUCCUUCAUCAAUUCUCCAGUUUUCAAACAUAAAUUGUUUGCCCAGACCCUAUUCAUUACUUACACUCCAGACCAGUGAUUUUCAAAGUGAGGCCCUUUGGACAAGCAGCAGCAUUCCAGAAGACUAGUUAGAAAAUUCUUAGGCUGCAUACCCAGCCCUUCAGAAUCAGAAACUGCAUACAAGUCCAGGUCUCUGGUUAACAAGCCCUCCAAGUGUUGCAGAGGUCCACUCAGAAGUUUGACAAACAGCUCUCCUCCCCAGAGGUGAAUCACAGUUACCAGCUGAACGCCACGGCAGAGGCAGAAUGUUCUCUAAAUGGGAGGGCAGGGAAAAACCAAAGAAGGAGAAGAAAGAUUUUUAACUUUACUUCUCCAGGAAACCAGUGGAUCCGCUCCACUUGUGCAGAGCCCACCACCUGUGGACUUGGAGCAAAGCAUCCGGUUAAUCCUCCCAUAAGGUUAAUUGACACUGAGAUCACUGUACCUUGGUGGAAAUUUUUUAAAAAGUCUCUAUCAGGCAAACAUUUCUUCUCUGAGAGAAAGUAUCUGAAAUGCUUGGGUGACAGCUAGGAAUUCUGGUGUGGACCUUGGAAUUUCCCAAGGUCCCUUCUUUAUCUUAAUGUCAUCGGGCUUCAAGUUCCACCCACUCCCUGGCGCUACACAGCCUGAGUGCCCAGCAGCCCUGCCCACCGAAUCUGUUCUGUUUGCCUGAACUCACCUGGCGCUGCCUGAUGCCCUCAGCCGUUAGUAGUGAUGGAUGGAAAGAGGACCAGGGUGCUUAAUCAAUGGAUGAUGACAAUUCUUCUGCUCUUGGUUCCUGGGGGAACCUCAAGGACAGCAAGAUUUCUUCAUUAGCUGGUGGCUGAAUGUUGGCCUGAAGAACUCCUCUUUUCAACCUCAGGCUGCGUGGCCACCUUGGUUCCUUUGCCUGGACUUUUCUUCCAGUUCCUUGAGUCCCCCAUCCUUUUGUUUUUUGCCACGGCUUUCAUUGUGGUAUAACUUACAUACCAUUAGAUGUACUCAUUUCCAAGUGUUCGAUUCAAAGAUUUUUAGUAAACGUUGUGCAACUAUCACAAUUCAAUUUUAGCACCUUUUGAUCACCCAUUUGCAGUCACGUCUGGUUCCUUUUUGGCAAUGGGAAGCCUGGGUCAUCCUUUCCCACUAUCUCCUGGGAGAGCUGAUCCCAAAGGAAAGAGCCCAGAAGGAGUUCAUUCAAAUAAAGAAACUUUAUCAGAAUGAAGUGGCUGCCACCAAAACUCUGCUCUCCCCCAAGACUCCAGCCCCUGUCAUGGCUUUGGCCUUGGUUCACAAGAGCCUGCAGGAGGAGGUGUGGUAAGGUCACCCAGACCCCCACAC